ACUCCCUCCGCCACAGACAAGACAAGAGCAGAGGCAGGCAAACACGCUGGGUAGGUGUGGGGGGGAGAGAGAAACGAGAAGCAGGGCUGGCCCCUCCUCGCUGCUGUAAAAGCAGGAGGGGGGAGGAAAAAAAAAAGAGGAGGAAGAAAAAAAAAGGGAGGAAGAAAGGAAAUCGCAGCCAUACGGGCUGUGCUCCCCCAGCUAAACUGUAUCUUCAGUUUAAGAGUGGGAGAAAAGACGGUACAUGGCGAUGAGCUCCUCCUGCCAGCCUCAUCUGUCAGCCAUUACUUAAUCAGGGCAGAGCAUAGAGAGCUGGCACAGCGCGUGGGACAAGAGGACAGCUUCACCUCUGAGAGCGAGACGAGGGCAACGACUCAGGGACCCCUGCUUCACCGAUCUACAGCUGGGUCGUUUCACUCACCAGCACCCACUCAGGAACCGGGGAACCCAAAGAUGACUCCACCCACUGCUCUCAGCAGGAAGGUUUCAGAGAACAGAAGUCACAACAACACAUGUUAUCAACACGGGAGCAGCCGGUAAGAGUGGCGUCAUGGGGCAGAGGAAUGUCAAGAGUCAUAGAUCUUUUGUCCUGCAGGCCGAAAUAUCCACCCAGCCUUAAACCAUCAGGAACACUGGGGCAACCCAACAUUUAAAUAUCCAGCUCUCUCUAUAGUGAAUCUCACAAGACGCACAGAAAUAGGGAAAUGAUGUGAUAAAUUAAACUUUAAACAUACUCAAAUACUGAUGGAUUUCAGAUGUGCCAGGUUCAUUUUGUUCAUAUUAUUCCUCCCAGGAUGCAGCUGAUUGUAUGAUGUGGAAAUAAUUUCCUGCCCCUGUCUGCAGGAUUUGAUAGAUUGUCAGCUAGAGCUGCAGCGAACGUCUGAUUGGCUAAAACUAAACAGCACCGUCUGCACUCCACCCCUAAGUAAGAGUUUGCCAUCUUUAAAAGAGUUAAAUAAACAGCUGGUUGAGCAGGCAUAUACAAUGUCUCCAACGCAGUUUCCUUUCUGAGUCAACACCACUCAGAAAAGCCACAACAAGCAACCAUAAGUAAAAAUGAAAUGACAAAGCAGGCCGAGCGUUCCCGUCUGUCUAAACAGUCCACUGAGAUGUUUUUCCACAACUAUGCUGCACUCAAACAUCCUCCAAACGAGACUAAAUGUUGGAGAAAAUGAAGGACAGGCGCAGAAAAGGCAGAAAAAAAAGUAAAUUCUUGAUGACAGAAGUUGAAAAAUACAAACAGCAGGCCAGUUGAGAAGUUAUAAAGUAAAGGACCUUUGACACAGGGGCAUUAACGUCUUACUCGCUCUUCCUGCUAAAUGUUGCACAGCUGCUUUUCUAAUCUGUCAUACCAACCAGCCUGCCACGGCUUGCACACAGAGGGAAGUGUGGAAAAGCUCAGAGAAGUGGAAGAUCAUGACCUCGCAUUGGUGUUUACGUGGAAACAAACACAAGUAAUGGAUGUAAGGGAAUGAGGAGAUAAGGGCAUUGAACUUUUUUUUGUUAUUUGUGUGCAGAUUGCUAUGUUUAUCAUCCCCUUUAUACUUUCUCCAUGCAAACUGCUUCUUCCACAGUGUCUGUUUGUGGCUCUGCUAUCCAUGUGCCCGGUCUCAGCCAAGUCUAUGGAUGCAUCCAAAUCUUGACAAAGGAAAACGCCUCCAUCAGAAAAACCCACAAAAAAAGAUGGAGGUACUGGUAACAUCCCCAAGGCACAAAUUCAUGCAGGGGUCAGUGGAUAAAAUACAACACUUUCUUAAUAGCAUUUUGUUCAUUUCACCAACUGCAAUAAAAAGCUUUUGCACACUUUUUAAUAGCCCUUGUAGCAAUGUCCAAACUAAUCCAACUGAAGCUUUGAUUCGACUUAAAACUACAAAACAUCUCAGGGUCUGAAGAAAUAACUUGCAUCAGGCACUGUUUGACAAACUGGAAUUUUCUCACAUGUGGCCCUGCUGAUGUACAAUGACCGAGUGAAAAAGACCCGGCAGGUAGCUGAGUCACAUGGAGAGGACAGCACAUGCAUUUAAAACGAAAUACACUGGCAUCCUGAGAAGUUAAAACAUCAAGCAUCAGCCUCAUAAGUCAGCCAGGAUAGAGAUAAAUGACUUUCAAUCCCCUGUUGGUGUAAGUAAGCUAAAACACCCAAUCUGUCACUGCCUCUGCUGCAAGAGGGGGAAAAACUGCCACGAACUCCAUUUCACUCCAUCAACUUGAUAGCAUCAACAGGCCCGAACAGGACCAGGCUCCAUCAAGUCUGAAGUGGCAGCCUCGUGCAAGAGGGCUGCGAGUCUAAGCGGAGUCAAAGAAGCGACUCCUAGAGGCUCAGAAGCCCUUUACAGGGAUAUCCUCAAGAGUUGAGGAAAAGCAGACGCUCUACCUGUGUCAAAGUGAGGCUAUGUUCUCUGUCAUUCGAUUGGGCCUGUGCUACACCAACCUAAAUGCUUCCAGACUUUCAUGCCUUGUCUCCUCUUAUUUCGUUUCACUGCGUCUGCUCCCGACUCAGAUCACCCACAAAACAACACCCCUGCCCAACAUCUACUAAAUGAGUUACUCCCUAAAUUUCUUUCACUUCCAUGCACACAUCUUAUUCCUUCAGGAGUGGCUUCCCUCCAACAGGGCGAGCUUUAACAACAUCUGUUCACUGCUCCGUAAACCAUAAUAAAUAGAAAGCAUUUUUUAAGUGUUUUGCAAUGAAAAUUCAAAUGUUUUAUUUAUGUUUUCCAACUUUCUGCAAUGUCAUCCAACAAUUUGACCUAAAAGAGGUUUUCAUUCCUGAUGUAAGCCAUGGUGGGUUCCAAAUAUUCUGAAUCUUCAGACAACAUCUCUCAACAUCUGGUUUUCAGCGUCCAAAGUCUAAAUGGUUUGCCAAAAUCUGUAGGCCAUAGUGCAUGACUUCUAACCAGAAGACCAUCAACUGAACUGUUUUGCUUUCUCUCAAAGGCCAGCAUGAAACACUAUCUACCAACUCAGAUUUAAAUUAAAGCCACGACAAGAGCCAUGCUCUUGAGGGGACCUUUCAGCCGCCUCUUCAACUGCUAACACUCGACAUGGCUUAUGGGCAGGAUCAGGAAACACAAGCCCAAUGAUGUCACAGCCAACUGACCCCAGGGUGACAGGUUUGGAGAACGUUCCUGCCCGGUGCCUUUGGGCCAAAGUCAAGUAUGUGAGUGUUGUGCAUGUGGAUUUAAUUUGAACCAGCAUGAUUAGUUUGCAGACGCUCUACUACGAACCCGAAGGAAAUGGUGUGUUUUUCUUAGCAACAAACAGGCAUAAAUUACUAAAACCAUACCUCGGUUGGUAAUUUAUCAAACACAGUCGCAUUGUCGGACCAUGCACACGGCUGGUAUAGACAUCGCCUUUAAGGUAAUUACCAUUAGUUAAUGAUAUUUACCUUCCGGAUAGUUUGUCCUGAACUCUGUGUCCUUAAAUUGUGCAAUAAAUGUGAUAAUUGUUUUGUGUCUUUUCUUUUUAAAAAAACAAAAAACAAACAAAUGUGUUUUGAUGACAUGUAUAAGGAAGGGGAAUAUAACGUUGACAUUGACAUUCAUCAGAGGUUACAAAAACUUCAUGUAGGGCUAACAAGAAACAAGAUAUUAGGAACAUACUGAAGAAAAGGUUGAAUUAGUAAAUGUGUUAAACUGUCCACAUGAAAAUAAAAGCUUACGUAUCAGAGGGCCCAUUUGUGAAUGCUUUCAAGAUGGUACAGCAUAUGGUGUGACGCUCACUAUUAAAAUGUCCACUAGAGAGUAGUAAGUAUGUGUCCAAACCCUUAAAUAUGACAAAUAUGUUAUUUUAAAGAAAGGGUUUGAGUAAUCAAUCAGUAAUUACAAUUUACGCUAUAUGAAACAAUAUACAAUAGAACGGUGUUUUUGGGAGACAACAAAUAUGUGGGGUAUAUUUCCAUAAUAAUUUAUCAGAUGGAUAUUAUGAAGUAACUAUGAUGAGGAUUUUGUUAAUUCAUGAGCAACCCCUGCAAACUAACAGGACAUAUACUGAGGGUGCAAAGGAAUAACAGAAAAAGAAAACUGUUUGUGAAUUCUGCAAAUGGAAGAGAUAAGGUAAGACACACUUUGAAGCAAUGGGAAAUAUUUUGACAUGUUACAUAAUCCAAAAGCUCCCGAGACCAUUAGGUGCGUCUCUGACCUCUGAAAGACCAUCAGCUCUUGAACAUUUGCACUUUCACCAUGGCAACAGUUACAGUGUGGGAUUACGAAGUGAAUGAAAAUAAAAAAAUAAAAAAUUAAAAUAAAAUGCUGUCAUGGUAUCAUAUCAUAAGUUUAAUAAUGCUGAUAUAAAAUAACAUUGUAACUUGUAGACAUACAAUUGUGCUUUUGUAGAAUCUAUUAUUAUAGUCUAUUCUGUAUAGUUUCAAGCUUAUACCUUGAAAAUACUGUUUGAUAUUCCUCCUUAGGGUUAGGGUUGGUAUAAUAAGUCCAUGUAUUCUAUAAAUGCUGUCUUUUUUAACUCUUGCUUUUGGAUCUUCUCAACUAAACAACCCUUGCCAGUGUGAAUUUAUACAAAUUACUGCUGUGGUAAAAGCAAUACUCUGUCGGUCUCCUGCCAAAUGCAUUACGGCGAGCUCCAUUAACACAAUGGUAAACAGAUGUGCCACCCAGCGCCAAAGUUUGAUUUGGACAGUGCAUGUGUUUCUCCGGGGAGAUUACAAAAGAAAAUGUUAAAACACAUAAAAGGGAAAAAGGCCUGCAGCGUUUUUUACACUGCAUUAUGCCAAGGUAUGUGAAGCACUGUACAUACUAUAGAGGCCGAUUCUGGAAUGUGUCCCCGAAGACUGAAUUAUCGUUAGGGUUACUGAAAAAGACUGGCUAAGUCAAUUGAGGGUCAAAUGCCAAAAUACCCCCUAAUGACCUGCAAAUCAAGUCUUUUCUAUGAGGUGUUUACAGUGCCUCACCUACAUACUUGUGCUGUAUGUGUAUUGCUUGCACAUGUUUUGACCUAGCACAUUAUUGUGCUGCAAAGGGGCUAAAUAAAAGCUGUUAUCCUGUUUAAGCAAUAAACUUUAAAUAUCAAUUUUAA